rnacentral:rRNA from 1 species
AGCGAACGCUGGCGGCAGGCCUAACACAUGCAAGUCGAACGGAUCCUUCGGGAUUAGUGGCGGACGGGUGAGUAACACGUGGGAACGUGCCCUUUGGUUCGGAACAACUCAGGGAAACUUGAGCUAAUACCGGAUGAGCCCUUCGGGGGAAAGAUUUAUCGCCAUUGGAGCGGCCCGCGUCUGAUUAGCUAGUUGGUGAGGUAAAGGCUCACCAAGGCGACGAUCAGUAGCUGGUCUGAGAGGAUGAUCGGCCACAUUGGGACUGAGACACGGCCCAAACUCCUACGGGAGGCAGCAGUGGGGAAUCUUGCGCAAUGGGCGAAAGCCUGACGCAGCCAUGCCGCGUGAAUGAUGAAGGUCUUAGGAUUGUAAAAUUCUUUCACCGGGGACGAUAAUGACGGUACCCGGAGAAGGAGCCCCGGCUAACUUCGUGCCAGCCGCCGCAGUAAUAC